AGUCGAGGGGCAGCAUGGUCUUAGCUUGCUAAGGCCGAUGGCGACCGGCGCACGGGUGAGUAACACGUAUCCAACCUGCCGUCUACUCUUGGACAGCCUUCUGAAAGGAAGAUUAAUACAAGAUGGCAUCAUGAGUCCGCAUGUUCACAUGAUUAAAGGUAUUCCGGUAGACGAUGGGGAUGCGUUCCAUUAGAUAGUAGGCGGGGUAACGGCCCACCUAGUCUUCGAUGGAUAGGGGUUCUGAGAGGAAGGUCCCCCACAUUGGAACUGAGACACGGUCCAAACUCCUACGGGAGGCAGCAGUGAGGAAUAUUGGUCAAUGGGCGAGAGCCUGAACCAGCCAAGUAGCGUGAAGGAUGACUGCCCUAUGGGUUGUAAACUUCUUUUAUAAAGGAAUAAAGUCGGGUAUGGAUACCCGUUUGCAUGUACUUUAUGAAUAAGGAUCGGCUAACUCCGUGCCAGCAGCCGCGGUAAUACGGAGGAUCCGAGCGUUAUCCGGAUUUAUUGGGUUUAAAGGGAGCGUAGAUGGAUGUUUAAGUCAGUUGUGAAAGUUUGCGGCUCAACCGUAAAAUUGCAGUUG
rnacentral:rRNA from 1 species